AAAACAAAUCUCGAGAAAGUCUCUUGGUAGAUGAAAAUUUAAAAAAAUUAAAAGUAAAUGUUUUGGGAUUGGAAAAAGAAAAAUUACAAAUCUUUAAGACUUCAGCUUUCAGAAAGAACAAUCUUUAAGACUUCAACUUUUGAAAUUAAAUGUUGCUCUCAGAAAACAGCAAAUACGAAAAGAGAAAGCGCUUACCAAAUAUUAUACCACUGCAACACAGCUUAUGAAUGAUAAAUUGCCACUUUCUAACCAGCAGCACUUUAUAAAUAUAGACAUGGAAGCAAUCCUUAGGCAGUAAAUGAAACGGAAGAAAAUAAACUAAGAGUGGAUAUAACUUUUUUAUUAGUUUUAUUAUUUUUAAUUUAAAAAAGUAUUGUAACUAUAAUUAACUCUCAUUUUGUAGAAUAGUUUAACUGUAACUAGUGAGCUCUUUGUGUUAUAACCAGUGAACUCUUUGUGUUGUAACCAGUGAACUUUUUGAGUUGUAACCAGUGAACUCUUUGUGUUGUAACCAGUGAACUCUUUGUGUUGUAACCAGUGAACUCUUUGUGUUGUAACCAGUGAACUCUUUGUGUUGUAACCAGUGAACUCUUUGUGUUGUAACCAGUGAACUCUUUGUGUUGUAACCAGUGAACUCUUUGUGUAGUAACCAGUGAACUCUUUGUGUUGUAACCAGUGAAUUCUUUGUUUAGCAUUUUUUUACAAAAACAAAAAAAAUAAAUAGAAUCUUUAUUUAA